CAGCACAAAACUUAUUCUGUACACUACCAUCUGAGUAAUCACUAAAUGAAUCAAAACUUUCAACAACGGAUCUCUUGGUUCUGGCAUCGAUGAAGAACGCAGCGAAAUGCGAUAAGUAAUGUGAAUUGCAGAAUUCAGUGAAUCAUCGAAUCUUUGAACGCACAUUGCGCCCGCCAGCAUUCUGGCGGGCAUGCCUGUCCGAGCGUCAUUUCAACCCUCAGCCCCCCGGGGCUGGUGUUGGGGCGCUGCCCCCCCCCGCGGGCGCAGCCUCCUAAAGUCAUCGGCGGACCCCCCGAGGCCCCGAGCGCAGUAGCACAACUCUCGCUCCGGGCGCCGCGGUGGCUCCUGCCGCCAAGCCGUCCCCCGGGACACAACCGAAAAUUUGACCUCGGAUCAGGUAGGAAUACCCGCUGAACUUAAGCAUAUCAAUAAGCGGAGGAAAAGAAACCAACAGGGAUUGCCCCAGUAACGGCGAGUGAAGCGGCAACAGCUCAGAUUUGAAAUCCGGCAGCGAUGCCCGAGUUGUAAUCUGCAGAGGAUGCUUUCGGCGAGGCGCCUUCCGAGUUCCCUGGAACGGGACGCCACAGAGGGUGAGAGCCCCGUAUGGUCGGACGCCGGACCUGUGUACAGCUCCUUCGACGAGUCGAGUAGUUUGGGAAUGCUGCUCUAAGCGGGAGGUAAAAUCCUUCUAAAGCUAAAUACCGGCCAGAGACCGAUAGCGCACAAGUAGAGUGAUCGAAAGAUGAAAAGCACUUUGAAAAGAGGGUUAAACAGCACGUGAAAUUGUUGAAAGGGAAGCGCCUGCGACCAGACUUGCGCCCGGCGGAUCAUCCGGCGUUCUC
rnacentral:rRNA from 1 species